CAGAGCCGCUCUCAGUGGCUGCUGGGAGGCGGCGGCGGCUCCUGGGGGAGCCGCCGGGCGGAGAGGCGCCGAAGUGGAGGCCGGCUUCUUCUUCAACUUCAUUAUUGGCACUGGGCAGCAGUAAUUUAUUUUCAAAACUUUACUUCAGAAGUGUCAAAGGAACAUCUGGAAACAUUGUCAUAUAGAUUUUCCCUUCGUUUUGGGUGAUGUAUUUAAGGUAGUCAUGGAACAAGAAUGAACUGAGCAGGCGCGCCUCGCAGUUGGGAAGCAACGCCGGGCCAGGCGGCAGGCCUCGGCGUCGCUCUGCUGCACUGGGCAUUCUGCCGCCGCCCACCACUGCCGCACUCGGCAAUCCGCCACCGCCCGCCACCACCGCACUUGGCGAUCCGCCCACCACCGCCGCAUUCGGCAAUCCGCCACCGGCUGCCGCCGCCUGCCGCCGCCGCCCGCUGCCGUGCUCACUCCCACUGCCUCCCGCCACCAAUGCGCUCACUCCCGCUGCCGCCCGCCACCGCUGCAUGAUCUGCCACCGCCCGCCACUGACACGCUCACUCCGGCCAGCCCAGGGGGGCGCAGAUGAAUGAACUUGGAUCCAUAUUGCAUGUGAAAAUGCAAAGUCAGCCAAAAAGGAAAAGACACAGAAACAAUGAAAUUGAAAGUGGUUUCCCCCCCCCCUUUGGAAAAGGACCACACUUUUGAGAGGGAACCCACACGUUAAAGAUUCUGCAUGUGUCACGGUGUACCUAGGUGCACCUCUGCACCAAUGGAAGCAGAAAGGGUUACCACCAAGGCUCUUGCAUCUACAUCUGGGUCAACCCACUGCACCUCAUUAUUCCUAGGAAUGACUGCUGACUGGUUUAAUCCUCCAUGCAUUCUCUCACAGCACCCUUAAAGGAGAACUCUCACUACCUUCUAGCCUGCCGCAUCUCAGUACUCUUGGAUAAUUCUGCUGGCCAUAAGAAAACUACCAUGUAUUACUGAAGUUUAAACAAGACUAUUUGAUACAUUCUGUCUUGGUUUUGAAUGUGUUUGCAAUGUGAACAAACGUUAAAUCGACUUUCAGAACACUAGAGUAAUUGAAGGUGACAACAGGAGCCUUAUUGCAAAUGUGACAGGCAUGGGAAGAAAAAUGAUUCAUUAUUCUCAGCAGGUAGGGAAAGUAAAAGAUGGGGGAAGAUGCAAAAUGAAAGCCCAGCUUGUUUUCACAAGAGAGCCACUGAGGGGAUGCUGACAUGAGGGGAUUGUGGAGCAAGCAUGUACGGAAAUAAUUUCAUAAAAUGAUGUUACUUUAUUCCUCAGUGAAAUACUGCA